rnacentral:rRNA from 1 species
AGAGUUUGAUCAUGGCUCAGGAUGAACGCUGGCGGCGUGCCUAAUACAUGCAAGUCGAGCGCCUUCACGGUGCAUUUCUUUCGAGGAUAGAGACAGGUCCUCACAAAUUUUCGUAGAAAAUUUGUGAGAUUUAAAACGAAGGAUGAAGGUCUGAAAAGACCGAAGUCCAAGUAAGUGUCUCGUCAACGAAAAAAAGAAAUGUAACGUGAAGGAGCGGCGGACGGCAGAGUAACACGUAGGAACAUACCCCAGACUGAGGGAUAAGCACCGGAAACGGUGUCUAAUACCGCAUAAUCUCUUUGGAGCAAAGCUUCGGCGGUUUGGGAGUGGCCUGCGCAUGAUUAGCUUGUUGGUGAGGUAAUGGCUCACCAAGGCGACGAUCAUUAGCUGGUCUGAGAGGAUGAUCAGCCUGACUGGAACUGAGACACGGUCCAGACUCCUACGGGAGGCAGCAGUAGGGAAUUUUCCGCAAUGGGCGAAAGCCUGACGGAGCAACNNCGCGUGCAGGAGGAAGGCCUUCGGGUUGUAAACUGCUUUUAACGGGGACGAUUAUGACGGUACCCGUAGAAUAAGGAUCGGCUAAUUCCGUGCCAGCAGCCGCGGUCAUACGGAAGAUCCGAGCGUUAUCCGGAAUUACUGGGCGUAAAGAGUUGCGUAGGUGGCAGGUAAAGCGAGCAGUGAAAGACUCCGGCUCAACCGGAGGUACAUUGUUCGAACUCACCAGCUAGAGCAUGAGAGAGGUAGAUGGAAUUUCUAGUGUAGGAGUGAAAUCCGUAGAUAUUAGAAGGAACCCGAUGGCGUAGGCAGUCUACUGGCUCAUUGCUGACACUAAGGCACGAAAGCGUGGGGAGCGAACGGGAUUAGAUACCCUAGUAGUCC